CUGUCCGAGGGGCGCUGCAGCAGGUUCGACCUGUCAGGCUCGGAUGGGGCGUUGUCUGGCCGUGAUGGUUCGGUCAGUCACUAAACGCACAACGGCGCCCAUUCGCA
rnacentral:ncRNA from 2 species